AGCGAACGCUGGCGGCAUGCCUAACACAUGCAAGUCGCACGGGGGGGCUUCGGCCUCCCAGUGGCGGACGGGUGAGGAACGCGUAGGGACCUGUCGAGGGGUGGGGGAUAACCGCGGGAAACUGCGGCUAAUACCGCAUGACGCCGCGGCGUGACAGCCGGGGCCAAAGGCGAAAGCCGCCCGCCGAGGGGCCUGCGUCCGAUUAGCUGGUUGGCGGGGUAGCGGCCCACCAAGGCGUCGAUCGGUAGCUGGUCUGAGAGGGUGAUCAGCCACACCGGGACUGAGACACGGCCCGGACUCCUACGGGAGGCAGCAGUGGGGAAUAUUGGACAAUGGGCGCAAGCCUGAUCCAGCAAGGCCGCGUGGGUGAAGAAGGUCUUCGGAUUGUAAAGCCCUUUCGGCGGGGACGAUGGUGACGGUACCCGCAGAAGAAGCCCCGGCUAACUUCGUGC
rnacentral:rRNA from 1 species